rnacentral:rRNA from 1 species
GGAGGAAAAGAAACCAACAGGGAUUGCCUCAGUAACGGCGAGUGAAGCGGCAAAAGCUCAAAUUUUAAAGCUGGCACCUCCGGUGUCCGCGUUGUAAUUUUGUGAGGCAUCUCCGGGUGGGGCGCCGGCCUAAGUUCCUUGGAACAGGACGUCAUAGAGGGUGAGAAUCCCGUGCUUGGCUGGCUGUCCCCGUCCAUGUGAGGUGUCUUCGACGAGUCGAGUUGUUUGGGAAUGCAGCUCAAAAUGGGUGGUAAAUUUCAUCUAAAGCUAAAUAUUGGUGGGAGACCGAUAGCGCACAAGUAGAGUGAUCGAAAGAUGAAAAGCACUUUGAAAAUAGAGUUAAAAAGUACGUGAAAUUGUUGAAAGGGAAGCGCUUGAGACCAGACUUCGGUGGGGAGUGAUCAGCCGUCCUUCUGGGCGGUGCACUUGCCCCCCUCCGGGCCAGCAUCGGUUGGGACGGCGGGAUAAAGGUCCCGGGAAUGUGGCUCCUCUCGGGGAGUGUUAUAGCCCGGGUGAAUGCCGCCAGCCCCGACCGAGGACCGCGCCUUCGGGCUAGGAUGCUUGGCAUAAUGGUCUUCAGCGACCCGUCU